UUUGUAGAAUGAACCGGCGAGUUACGAUUUGUUGCAAGGUUAAGCGGAAAAAGCGGAGCCGUAGCGAAAGCGAGUCUGAAUAGGGCGCAUAAGUAACAGGUCGUAGACCCGAAACCAGGUGAUCUACCCAUGUCCAGGAUGAAGGUAAGGUAAUACUUACUGGAGGUCCGAACCCACGCACGUUGAAAAGUGCGGGGAUGAGGUGUGGGUAGCGGAGAAAUUCCAAUCGAACUUGGAGAUAGCUGGUUCUCUCCGAAAUAGCUUUAGGGCUAGCCUCGAGGUAAAGAGUCAUGGAGGUAGAGCACUGUUUGGACUAGGGGCCCUUCUCGGGUUACCGAAUUCAGAUAAACUCCGAAUGCCAUGUACUUAUACUCGGGAGUCAGACUGCGAGUGAUAAGAUCCGUAGUCGAAAGGGAAACAGCCCAGACCACCAGUUAAGGUCCCCAAAUAUAUGUUAAGUGGAAAAGGAUGUGGGGUUGCUUAGACAACCAGGAUGUUGGCUUAGAAGCAGCCACCAUUGAAAGAGUGCGUAAUAGCUCACUGGUCGAGUGACCCCGCGCCGAAAAUGUACCGGGGCUAAACAUAUUACCGAAACUGUGGAUGAACCUCUUUAGAGGUUCGUGGUAGGAGAGCGUUCUAAGGGCGGUGAAGUCAGACCGGAAGGACUGGUGGAGCGCUUAGAAGUGAGAAUGCCGGUAUGAGUAGCGAAAGAAGGGUGAGAAUCCCUUCCACCGAAUAUCUAAGGUUUCCUGAGGAAGGCUCGUCCGCUCAGGGUUAGUCGGGACCUAAGCCGAGGCCGAUAGGCGUAGGCGAUGGACAACAGGUAGAGAUUCCUGUACCAGUGCUAAUUGUUUAACCGAUGGGGUGACACAGAAGGAUAGGGAAUCGCACGAAUGGAAAUGUGCGUCCAAGCAGUGAGUGUGAGAAGUAGGCAAAUCCGCUUCUCGCGAAGCAUGAGCUGUGAUGGGGAAGGAAAUUAAGUACGGAAGUUCCUGAUUUCACGCUGUCAAGAAAAGCCUCUAGGAAGAGUAGUACUGCCCGUACCGCAAACCGACACAGGUAGAUGAGGAGAGAAUCCUAAGGUGAGCGAGAGAACUCUCGUUAAGGAACUCGGCAAAAUGACCCCGUAACUUCGGGAGAAGGGGUGCUCUAUUAGGGUGCAAGCCCGAGAGAGCCGCAGUGAAUAGGCCCAGGCGACUGUUUAGCAAAAACACAGGUCUCUGCAAAACCGUAAGGUGACGUAUAGGGGCUGACGCCUGCCCGGUGCUGGAAGGUUAAGAGGAGUGCUUAGCUUCGGCGAAGGUACGAAUUGAAGCCCCAGUAAACGGCGGCCGUAACUAUAACGGUCCUAAGGUAGCGAAAUUCCUUGUCGGGUAAGUUCCGACCCGCACGAAAGGCGCAACGAUCUGGGCACUGUCUCAACGAGAGACUCGGUGAAAUUAUAGUACCUGUGAAGAUGCAGGUUACCCGCGACAGGACGGAAAGACCCCGUGGAGCUUUACUGCAACCUGAUAUGGAAUGUUUGUACCGCUUGUACAGGAUAGGUAGGAGCCGAAGAGACGUGUGCGCUAGCAUACGAGGAGGCAAUGGUGGGAUACUACCCUGGCUGUAUGACCAUUCUAACCCGCCACGCUUAGCGCGUGGGGAGACAGUGUCAGGUGGGCAGUUUGACUGGGGCGGUCGCCUCCUAAAGAGUAACGGAGGCGCCCAAAGGUUCCCUCAGAAUGGAUGGAAAUCAUUCGCAGAGUGUAAAGGCACAAGGGAGCUUGACUGCGAGACUGACAAGUCGAGCAGGGACGAAAGUCGGGCUUAGUGAUCCGGUGGUUCCGCAUGGAAGGGCCAUCGCUCAACGGAUAAAAGCUACCCCGGGGAUAACAGGCUUAUCUCCCCCAAGAGUCCACAUCGACGGGGAGGUUUGGCACCUCGAUGUCGGCUCGUCGCAUCCUGGGGCUGUAGUCGGUCCCAAGGGUUGGGCUGUUCGCCCAUUAAAGCGGCACGCGAGCUGGGUUCAGAACGUCGUGAGACAGUUCGGUCCCUAUCCGUCGCGGGCGCAGGAAAUUUGAGAGGAGCUGUCCUUAGUACGAGAGGACCGGGAUGGACACACCGCUGGUGUACCAGUUGUUCCGCCAGGAGCAUCGCUGGGUAGCUAUGUGUGGCAGGGAUAAACGCUGAAAGCAUCUAAGCGUGAAGCCCCCCUCAAGAUGAGAUUUCCCAUUUCUUCGGAAAGUAAGAUCCCUGAAAGAUGAUCAGGUAGAUAGGUUUGGAGUGGAAGUGUAGCGAUACA
rnacentral:rRNA from 1 species